UACGCCUGCGUGGUUCCGCGCUGUCCCGUCUGGGGCUGCGUGGACCCCGCCCAGCUCCUUUUGCGGCUGCGCAAUCGAGCUUUCGUGAGCUGCCCUGGCUCUAGUUGUUUUUUUUUCUGGGUUAUGUGUUGUUGGACACCCCAGUCUUCCCAGGGCUUCCCAACUUGAACACCUGUGAGCUCCACAUACCGGCUGCCUCAGUUCAAAGGGAGAUUGAAUUCAAAUACUCAUCCUCUACUGAGGCGGGGCAAAUGCUUUAGGAUAUGACAUUUAAGUAAAUCCAGGGCCCCUGUCAAAUUCCUUGAAAACGCAACAGGCAGAAUUGAAAAGUGACCUUUCAACAGGUGUUUUUUGAGGACCUUUGUAUAUCAAGCCCUGUUCUAAACAAUAGAGAUACAUAACCGGAAGGAAACGGCAAACUGACCCUAGUGGGAGGAAGAGAGGGACAAGCAGCAAACCAGAAAGUGGCGUUGAAGGGCUGUGGUGGCUCUGGCUGCCUUUUGGAAACGGACAUUGAGGGGUGGAUCAUGUGCGGAACAGGAAAUGCCGCUGGUGAGUAAAAAGGAGCAACCUGGGUGGAAUAAACCAGAGCGUCAUGGAAGCCGAGUGAAGAGAAGGUUGUCAAGGCAGAGUUAGAGAGAACAAAGAGAAGGACAGACAGCAAGGUCUUCCAUCUGCUGUUUCACUCCCCAAAUGACUGCAAUGGCUGGAGCUGGGCCAAUCCAAAGCCAGGAGCUGCUACAGGUCUCCUACGUGGAUUCAGGGGUCUAGGGACUUGAACCGUCCUCACUACUUUCUCAAGCCAUAAGCAAGGAUCAGGAUCAGGAGUGGAGCAGCCAGGACUCAAACCAGCGCCCAAAUGGGAUGCCAUUGCCUCAGAUCCUGAGCACACAGCAGGGAGCAAAGCAGAACCAACUCUGCUCAGAUUUUGGAAAAUAAAUCAAGUUGGAGAAACAAAACAUUCAGUGUGGUUGGUGGUAAUAUGUGCCAAGGAGGAAAGGCAGACAAAAAGGUACAUGGGAGUCCUCAAGGGAGGAGAGAGAAAUUGCUGAGCAACAUCUCAGGAAAGCUCAUUUAGAGAAAUGCAAAGGCUCUGGUGCUGAAAUACACCUGCCUGGUGAGUGCAUGUGGUACUGAGGCAGGGAAGCUGGGGUGGAGUGAGGCUGGGGAGAGCAAAAGAGACAAAAGCAGAAAGGUAACAGGGGCUAACCUGGGGUGACCACAAGCUUUGUUGUUUACUCAGUGAGACAGAAGCUUCUAAAAGUUCUGGAGAAGAACAGUAGCAGGAAGUAACUCUUAUUUUAUUGGGUCGCUCUGUUACGUGGCCCACAGAGGGUGGUGGGCAGGGAAAGAGGACAUGGAGAGAUGUAGUGAAGGCGUUUGAGA